UCCCUGGUGGUCCAGUGGGUAAGACUCUGCAUUUCCAAUGCAGGGGUCCUGGGUUCGAUCCCUGGUUGGGGAG